UACGUAGGUGACAAGCGUUGUCCGGAUUUACUGGGCGUAAAGAGCGCGCAGGCGGUCGUUCAAGUCGAGUGUGAAAGCCCCCGGCUCAACUGGGGAGGGUCACUCGAUACUGAUCGACUCGAAGGCAGGAGAGGGUAGUGGAAUUCCCGGUGUAGUGGUGAAAUGCGUAGAUAUCGGGAGGAACACCAGUGGCGAAGGCGGCGUUCUGGACUGCUACUGACACUGAGGAACGAAAGCCAGGGGAGCAAACGGG
rnacentral:rRNA from 1 species